rnacentral:rRNA from 1 species
UACGAAGGGGGCUAGCGUUGUUCGGAAUUACUGGGCGUAAAGCGCACGUAGGCGGAUCGUUAAGUCAGGGGUGAAAUCCUGGAGCUCAACUCCAGAACUGCCUUUGAUACUGGCGACCUUGAGUUCGGGAGAGGUGAGUGGAACUGCGAGUGUAGAGGUGAAAUUCGUAGAUAUUCGCAAGAACACCAGUGGCGAAGGCGGCUCACUGGCCCGAUACUGACGCUGAGGUGCGAAAGCGUGGGGAGCAAACAGG